GUUGCCCGGAUAGCUCAGUCGGUAGAGCAGGGGAUUGAAAAUCCCCGUGUCCUUGGUUCGAUUCCGAGUCCGGGCA
rnacentral:tRNA from 1 species